GUUGGUUUCACCCGAAGGCAGUGCGCUAACCUUUUAGGAGGCAGCUGACCACGGUGGGAUCAGCGACUGGGGUGAAGUCGUAACAAGGUAGCUGUAGGUGAACCUGCAGAAGGAUCA
rnacentral:rRNA from 1 species